rnacentral:rRNA from 1 species
CCUACGGGAGGCUGCAGUGAGGAAUAUUGGUCAAUGGACGAGAGUCUGAACCAGCCAAGUAGCGUGAAGGAUGACUGCCCUAUGGGUCGUAAACUUCUUUUGUCAGGGAAUAAAAUCUUCCACGUGUGGGCUUUUGUAUGUACCCUAUGAAUAAGGAUCGGCUAACUCCGUGCCAGCAGCCGCGGUAAUACGGAGGAUUCGAGCGUUAUCCGGAUUUAUUGGGGUUAAAGGGAGCGUAGGUGGGUUGUUAAGGCAGUUGUGAAAGUUUGGGGCUCAACCGUAGAAUUGCGGUUGAAACUGGCAGUCUUGAGUACGGUAGAGGUGGGCGGAAUGCGUGGUGUAGCGGUGAAAUGCUUAGAUAUCACGCAGAACUCCGAUUGCGAAGGCAGCUCACUGGACUGCAACUGACACUGAGGCACGAAAGUGUGGGUAUCGAACAGGAUUAGAUACCCCAGUAGUC